CGCAUCUGUGCAUGCAGCAUAUCAAUAAGCGGAGGAAAAGAAACUAACAAGGAUUCCCCUAGUAACGGCGAGUGAAGCGGGAAGAGCUCAAAUUUGAAAUCUUAAAGGGUUUUCCCUUGACGAAUUGUAGUUUAAAGAAGUGUUUUCUGUUGAAGGUUUUGGUAAAAGUUCUUUGGAAUAGGACAUCAUAGAGGGUGAGAAUCCCGUAUUUGACCAUUAUUUUCAGCUUUGUGAUACACUUUCAAAGAGUCGGAUUGUUUGGGAAUGCAGGUCCAAAAUGGGUGGUAAAUUUCAUCUAAAGCUAAAUAUUGGCGAGAGACCGAUAGCGAACAAGUACCGUGAGGGAAAGAUGAAAAGAACUUUGAAAAGAGAGUUAAACAGUACGUGAAAUUGUCAAAAGGGAAGCGUUUGACACCAGUGUUGUUUUCUCGAAAAUCAAUUAAAAAUGGCUCGAUUUUGUAUUGCUGAGACCUUAAAAGCUCACUGUACAUUUUUCGUGUCUUUUUUAAUGCACUUUUCGUUUAACAAGUCAACAUCAGUUUCUUUUGUUGUAAAAGGGUCAUUGGAAGGUGGCUUUCUUUUCGGAGAAAGUGUUUAUAGCCUUUGGCCUCUGCAAUCGAAGAGACUGAGGUCUGCAGCGUAGACUCUUCGGGGUUAGAUACAUUUGUGCUAAGUUAUAGCUUUUUAUAGACAACUUGUUGACUAUAAUUAGUCUUGUAGCUUACUCGCUUAUGCUAUUUUACCUACGCUUAGGAUGUUGAAGAUAUGCGCGACAC
rnacentral:rRNA from 1 species